rfam:Acidithrix ferrooxidans strain Py-F3 AXFE_contig000044, whole genome shotgun sequence.
GGGGGUGUCAGGCUUCGACUUUGGUGUUUGCGGUAUGGGAAGCGAGUCGUGGUCUCCGGAGCCACGUUAAAGAGCCGGAAAAAUAAAUAAACGCCGAGCCUCAGCUCGCUCUCGCUGCCUAAAUAAGCCAGCGACGUCCGACCAUUUCGAACUCUUAGGGAUGGUAUCGGGCGAGAUCAAAUAGAGGUAAGCUGGUGAUCAUUCUGGAAUCACCGGACAAAAAUCAACAGAAUAAGGAUCAAGUGAUACGCAUCCGGUAACUUGAUUUCGAACAAAUACAGGGUGCUGCACUCGGAGAAGUCAUACUAAGGAACUGAAGGACGCGGGUUCAAUUCCCGCCACCUCCACUA